GACGAACGCUGGCGGCGUGCUUAACACAUGCCAGUCGAACGGGAUAAUUUGAGAGCUUGCUCUUAGAGAAUCUAGUGGCAAACGGGUGAGUAACACGUAGACAACCUGCCGACAGGAUGGGGACAACAUUCCGAAAGGAAUGCUAAUACCGAAUGAAGCGGAGGAGAGGCAUCUCUCCUCCGUGAAAGAUGGCCUCUGAAUAUGCUAUCACCUGUCGAUGGGUCUGCGUCUGAUUAGCUAGUUGGUGAGGUAACGGCUCACCAAGGCGACGAUCAGUAGCCGGUCUGAGAGGAUGAACGGCCACAUUGGGACUGAGACACGGCCCAGACUCCUACGGGAGGCAGCAGUGGGGAAUCUUCCGCAAUGGGCGCAAGCCUGACGGAGCAACGCCGCGUGAGUGAAGAAGGUCUUCGGAUCGUAAAGCUCUGUUGACGGGGACGAACGUGCGAAGGGUGAAUAAUCCUUUGUAAUGACGGUACCUGUCGAGGAAGCCACGGCUAACUACGUG
rnacentral:rRNA from 1 species